AGUGAACGCUGGCGGUAGGCCUAACACAUGCAAGUCGAACGGCAGCACAGUAAGAUCUUGCUCUUACGGGUGGCGAGUGGCGGACGGGUGAGGAAUACAUCGGAAUCUACUUUUUCGUGGGGGAUAACGUAGGGAAACUUACGCUAAUACCGCAUACGACCUACGGUUGAAAGCAGUGGAUCUUCGCACCUUGCGCGAUUGAAUGAGCCGAUGCCGGAUUAGCUAGUUGGCGGGGUAAAGGCCCACCAAGGCGACGAUCCGUAGCUUGUCUGAGAGGAUGAUCAGCCGCACUGGAACUGAGACACGGUCCAGACUCCUACGGGAGGCAGCAGUGGGGAAUAUUGGACAAUGGGCGCAAGCCUGAUCCAGCCAGACCGCGUGGGUGAAGAAGGCCUUCGGGUUGUAAAGCCCUUUUGUUGGGAAAGAAAAGCAGCAGGUUAAUACCCCGCUGUUCUGACGGUACCCAAAGAAUAAGCACCGGCUAACUUCGUG
rnacentral:rRNA from 1 species